rnacentral:rRNA from 1 species
UACAGAGGGUGCAAGCGUUGUUCGGAAUUAUUGGGCGUAAAGCGCUUGUAGGCGGCCUGUCAAGUCGCGUGUGAAAUCCCCUGGCUUAACCAGGGAAGUGCGCGCGAAACUGAAGGGCUUGAGUGCCGGAGAGGGUCGCGGAAUUCCCGGUGUAGAGGUGAAAUUCGUAGAUAUCGGGAGGAACACCGAGGUGCGAAGGCGGCACUCGAGGACUACACUGACGCAG